rnacentral:tRNA from 2 species
UAGACGGAAGCCUGCAUGGUUAAGGCACCUAGCUGUUAACUAGGCUUUUUGUGGGAUCGAGGCCCAUCUGUCUAG